rnacentral:rRNA from 1 species
UAGGGAAUCUUCCGCAAUGGGCGAAAGCCUGACGGAGCAACGCCGCGUGAGUGAUGAAGGUCUUCGGAUCGUAAAACUCUGUUAUUAGGGAAGAACAAAUGUGUAAGUAACUAUGCACGUCUUGACGGUACCUAAUCAGAAAGCCACGGCUAACUACGUGCCAGCAGCCGCGGUAAUACGUAGGUGGCAAGCGUUAUCCGGAAUUAUUGGGCGUAAAGCGCGCGUAGGCGGUUUUUUAAGUCUGAUGUGAAAGCCCACGGCUCAACCGUGGAGGGUCAUUGGAAACUGGAAACCUUGAGUGCAGAAGAGGAAAGUGGAAUUCCAUGUGUAGCAGUGAAAUGCGCAGAGAUAUGGAGGAACACCAGUGGCGAAGGCGACUUUCUGGUCUGUAACUGACGCUGAUGUGCGAAAGCGUGGGGAUCAAACAGG